UAGUACGGCGAGUGAAGCGGGAUGAGCUCAAAUUUAAAAUCUGGCUGGUUUACUAGUCCGAAUUGUAGUUUAUAGAAGCGUUUUCGGUGGCAGCCUGGGUAUAAAUCCUUUGGAAUAGGGUAUCAUAGAGGGUGAGAAUCCCGUCUUUGACUCAGUGCAUGCUACUAUGUGAUACGUUUUCAAAGAGUCGAGUUGUUUGGGAAUGCAGCUCAAAAUGGGUGGUAAAUUUCAUCUAAAGCUAAAUAUUGGCGAGAGACCGAUAGCGAACAAGUACCGUGAGGGAAAGAUGAAAAGAACUUUGAAAAGAGAGUUAAACAGUGCGUGAAAUUGUUGAAAGGGAAACGCUUGACACCAGUCAUGCGAGUGGAAAAUCAGUCUUUUGCAGUGGGGAGUUGUGGGCGUUCAGACCGUAAGGCUGGCGUUUGCUUCAUCUUUGUUGUAAGUGAUGCACUUUUUCAUUUGCAGGUCAACAUCAGUUUGCUUUGCUGGACAAAACCCCAAGGGAAGGUGACAGCUUAGGCUGUGUUAUAGCCCUGGGGCGAUACAGUGGAGUGGACUGAGGUUUUCGCAGUGUGUGCUCUCUGGGCAAGGCUGACUGGGUGCUAUGGGAUCGUUCGGCGUACAAUGCAUGCAUUUUGCGCCGUGUCUUUUUCAUACUCGCUCAACUCGGCUCUUCCACACUUAGGAUGUUGACUUAAUGGUUUUAAUCGACCCGUCUUGAAACACGGACCAAGGAGUCUAACAUAUAUGCAAGUGUUUGGGUGGCAAACCCAUGCGCGUAAUGAAAGUGAACGUAGGUGCCAUCCGCAAGGUGCAGCAUCGACCGAUCUUGAUAUUUUUGGAUAGAUUUGAGUAAGAGCAUAUAUGCUGGGACCCGAAAGAUGGUGAACUAUGCCUGAAUAGGGUGAAGCCAGAGGAAACUCUGGUGGAGGCUCGUAGCGAUUCUGACGUGCAAAUCGAUCGUCAAAUUUGGGUAUAGGGGCGAAAGACUAAUCGAA
rnacentral:rRNA from 1 species